AAGGAUCAUUACCGAGUUGAUUCGGGCUCCGGCCCGAUCCUCCCACCCUUUGUGUACCUACCUCUGUUGCUUUGGCGGGCCACGGUUCUCCGCGGCCGCCCCCCUCCCCGGGGGGUGGCCAGCGCCCGCCAGAGGACCAUCAAACUCCAGUCAGUAAACGAUGCAGUCUGAAAAACAUUUAAUAAACUAAAACUUUCAACAACGGAUCUCUUGGUUCUGGCAUCGAUGAAGAACGCAGCGAAAUGCGAUAAGUAAUGUGAAUUGCAGAAUUCAGUGAAUCAUCGAAUCUUUGAACGCACAUUGCGCCCUUUGGUAUUCCGAAGGGCAUGCCUGUUCGAGCGUCAUUACAACCCUCAAGCUCUGCUUGGUAUUGGGCACCGUCCUUUGCGGGCGCGCCUCAAAGACCUCGGCGGUGGCGUCUUGCCUCAAGCGUAGUAGAACAUACAUCUCGCUUCGGAGCGCAGGGCGUCGCCCGCCGGACGAACCUUCUGAACUUUUCUCAAGGUUGACCUCGGAUCAGGUAGGGAUACCCGCUGAACUUAA
rnacentral:rRNA from 1 species